UCCCGUUUGGGGGGCCUAAGGAAAGUUUUCCAUUUAAUCUGGCUAGCAAAUUAAUAUUGCCACCAUUUAUAUCUUUUUAAGAUGAAGGGCCUAUAUCUCAGCUGGUUAGAGCACACGCCUGAUGAGCGUGAGGUCGGUGGUUCAAGUCCAUGUAGGUCCACCAUAACCACAAAUAGGCAAAAUCUUAAAAAAGCUCUUUGAAAGGUAGAUAAACGAAGGUUAAAAAAUCAAAGGAAC
rnacentral:misc_RNA from 1 species